rnacentral:rRNA from 1 species
AUUGAACGCUGGCGGCAGGCCUAACACAUGCAAGUCGAACGAGUGGCGGACGGGUGAGUAAUGUCUGGGAAACUGCCUGAUGGAGGGGGAUAACUACUGGAAACGGUAGCUAAUACCGCAUACCAUCAUAUGUGCCCAGAUGGGAUUAGCUAGUUGUUGGGUUAACGGCUCACCAAGGCGACGAUCCCUAGCUGGUCUGAGAGGAUGACACGCCACCCGGGAACGUAGACACGGUCCAGACGCCUACGGGAGGCAGCAGGGGGGAAUAUUGCACAAGGGGCGCAAGCCUGAUGCAGCCAUGCCGCGUGUAUGAAGAAGGCCUUCGGGUUGUAAAGUACGUUCAGCGGGGAGGCGUUACCCGCAGAAGAAGCACCGGCUAACUCCGUGCCAGCAGCCGCGGUAAUUC